AACAAUGAAGUGUUGGGGAGGAGCACUGUCGGGAGCACUCUGGGAGGCCGAGCGCUGCCCGGGGCUGGAUUCCCCAGCUCCCCUUUUCCAGAUGAAUUAACUCAAGCUCAGAGAGCAGAGGCUGCACGAGGAAUUCAUUUCAGGGCCUGAGAGGACGUGUGGCGCGACAGCCACCUCGCGGAGAGCGGGCCCGUGGGCCUAUGAGUCUGGGCACCUGUCCCCUGCCUGCCAACAUAUAGGAGGCAGCGUGCAACUAAGCUUUCCUGCUUUUCAAACCAGGGGCAGGACAUCAGGUGUCCCCCAAGUCCACUGAGUCCGGGCAAGAAUUGAAGCAGGAGGGCAGAGCAGGACCCUUCUCCACUUGCUCAUGGAUGAACACAUUGGCAGCUGAUGCCGGAAGGUUCUAGAAGGGCAUGUCAUGUGGCCUCUCAUCUUCCAGAAACCACUAAAGGGAAAGAGAAAUACACCAAGGCCACAGUCAUUAGCAUCCCAGAACAUUGGAUUCUAUUUCUGGCAGCUCCAAAGCAGUUGGCAAACCUCUGCCGGCGCUUCUCCAGCUCAGCACGCCAAGAUAAGGACCCACAAGUGGGUUAACUGGAUCAUGUGAAAUUUCUAUUUUUAAUUUUUGGAGGCAUCUCCAUACUGUUUUCCAUAAUGGCUGCACCCAAGUGCGUUCCCACCCAGAGGCACAGGGCUCCUGUCUCUGCACAUCCUCCCCACAGCGUGUUCCAUAUCUUCGGAUAAUAAUCGUUCUCACAGGUGUGCGGUGACAAGUCAGUGUUGUUUUGAUUUGCAUUUCCCUGGUAAUAAACAAUGA